CAUGCUGCGAGUCCAGAAAGGGUCAGAAGGGACUCCAACCUGGGUCAGCCUCCAGGACAAGUACAUGCAGAGGGUCCAUGUGCCCAACAUGACAUCCCUGAGGAUUGAGAACUUGACCCGUGAGGACAGCGGGCAGUACCGGGCUCGAGCCAGCUUAACUGGGGGAAUGGAAUCUAACCAGAUUUUCGACCUCACCGUCUAUGGUACGUGACACCCCCUCACCUCAAUCCCAUGGCUACAGCCUUCUUUUGUGCCUAGGAGUGUCGCAUGGGCACCAUUUUGCAGGCCUCCUUCUUGACGGCAGGCUUCAGGCUCUAUUUUCUCCGCUGAUAUUAGGAUCUUCUUCCCCUUCCCAAGAUCCAAGUCCAGUCAGUGUCCACCACAGGAGGCUGGUGCAACAUCACCCUGGAGUGCAGGGCUGCAGGGGUAACGGAGGACCUGAAUGUGACCUGGGAAAGCAAGGAUCUCCCAAGGGAGCUGGAACCAGCCCGCAACUCCUGGACCCUGGCUGUGAGCGUGCCUCUGAGCCAGCCCAAUGCCAGCCUCACCUGUGCGGUCAGCAACCCCAAGGACCGGAAAACUGUCACCACAUUCCUUGGGACACUCUGUGCCCAUGGUGUGUACAACCUGCUGGAGGGGAGGGGCACUGUCGGAGCUCAGGGAGCUCUGGGGUCUGAGGAUUCUGGGCUUUUCUCCUCACCAUGUUUAUCAGCACCAGCCCCACCUGCUCACCCCCUAAAGGAGUCUAGGGAGCACAUCCAACUUGUUCUGCUCUUAAAUGACUGUCACGUCUAUGCCUCUCAUCUCUUGACUCUGCUGGUGGGCAGCAGCUGUCCAGCACCUUUCCCACCCCACCCAUCCUCCACAGGGAAUGCAGAGUGGUCUUCGGGAAAGAACCUGGAUUGUGUCACUUGUCUGUGUCGAGGGAAGGGUUUGACCUCCAGGGACUCCCUGUAGGAUUCAGGGCUCUGAAGCUCCUGUGCCCAUGUUUUGGCCUCACUGACACUCACACUGACCUGCCUGCUUGGAGUCCCGAACGCAUUCUGCAAAGUUAGAGCCUCUGGAUGUACUGUUUCCGCUACCAUCAUUCCUCCUACCUUUUCCUUCAUUUCUUGCCUUAUUC